rnacentral:rRNA from 1 species
AGAGUUUGAUCCUGGCUCAGAACGAACGCUGGCGGCAGGCUUAACACAUGCAAGUCGAGCGCUGUAGCAAUACAGAGCGGCAGACGGGUGAGUAACGCGUGGGAACAUACCCUUCGGUUCGGAAUAGCUCAGGGAAACUUGAAUUAAUACCGGAUACGGCCGGGAGGCGAAAGAUUUAUCGCCGAAGGAUUGGCCCGCGUUCGAUUAGCUAGUUGGCGAGGUAACGGCUCACCAAGGCGACGAUCGAUAGCUGGUCUGAGAGGAUGAUCAGCCACAUUGGGACUGAGACACGGCCCAAACUCCUACGGGAGGCAGCAGUGGGGAAUAUUGGACAAUGGGCGCAAGCCUGAUCCAGCCAUGCCGCGUGAGUGAUGACGGCCUUAGGGUUGUAAAGCUCUUUCGCUAGGGACGAUAAUGACGGUACCUAGACAAGAAGCCCCGGCUAACUUCGUGCCAGCAGCCGCGGUAAUACGAAGGGGGCUAGCGUUGUUCGGAAUUACUGGGCGUAAAGCGCAUGUAGGCGGGUCUUUAAGUCAGGGGUGAAAUGCCGAGGCUCAACCUUGGAACUGCCUUUGAUACUGGAGAUCUUGAGUCCGGGAGAGGUGAGUGGAACUGCGAGUGUAGAGGUGAAAUUCGUAGAUAUUCGCAAGAACACCAGUGGCGAAGGCGGCUCACUGGCCCGGAACUGACGCUGAGAUGCGAAAGCGUGGGGAGCAAGCAGGAUUAGAUACCCUGGUAGUCCACGCUGUAAACGAUGGAUGCUAGCCGUUAGGCAGCUUGCUGCUUAGUGGCGCAGCUAACGCUUUAAGCAUCCCGC